AUUGAACGCUGGCGGCAUGCCUUACACAUGCAAGUCGAACGGCAGCACGGGUGCUUGCACCUGGUGGCGAGUGGCGAACGGGUGAGUAAUACAUCGGAACAUGUCCUGUAGUGGGGGAUAGCCCGGCGAAAGCCGGAUUAAUACCGCAUACGAUCUACGGAUGAAAGCGGGGGACCUUCGGGCCUCGCGCUAUAGGGUUGGCCGAUGGCUGAUUAGCUAGUUGGUGGGGUAAAGGCCUACCAAGGCGACGAUCAGUAGCUGGUCUGAGAGGACGACCAGCCACACGGGGACUGAGACACGGCCCAGACUCCUACGGGGGGCAGCAGUGGGGAAUUUUGGACAAUGGGCGAAAGCCUGAUCCAGCAAUGCCGCGUGUGUGAAGAAGGCCUUCGGGUUGUAAAGCACUUUUGUCCGGAAAGAAAUCCUUGGCCCUAAUACGGUCGGGGGAUGACGGUACCGGAAGAAUAAGCACCGGCUAACUACGUG
rnacentral:rRNA from 1 species